rnacentral:rRNA from 1 species
UACGUAGGUGGCAAGCGUUAUCCGGAAUUAUUGGGCGUAAAGAGCGUGUAGGCGGCCUGAAAGGUCAGCUGUGAAAACUCGAGGCUCAACCUCGAGACGUCGGUUGAAACCAUCUGGCUAGAGUCCGGAAGAGGAGUGUGGAAUUCCCGGUGUAGCGGUGAAAUGCGCAGAUAUCGGGAAGAACACCCGUGGCGAAGGCGGCACUCUGGGACGGUACUGACGCUGAGACGCGAAAGCGUGGGGAGCGAACAGG